AUGACUGUCAUUUUAAAGCACAAUGUUUUGAAGUGGGUCUCUGAUCUUCUGCAUCUAGCAUGGCCUUGCCCCGAGUGGUUUAUGAAACAUUCAUUUUUAGCGUCACUUCUUCCAGGGAGCAGAGGAGACCUGUUCGUAAAUCCAGUUUAAUCUUUACCCAUUCUUUUAAACUGUCCUCUGUAAGAAAAGCCAACUCAAAUGUGUACAAGAAACGUGACAAUAAGAGAUGUGAACCACAAAAACAUCCCAAAAGAAAGUCAACCAGUUCUUCAAUGAAAACAAUGAAGUACCAGCAUGUUUUUUUAUCAUCUGGUAAAUGCACAUAGUCAUGUGCACACACAGGACCCCAACAUGUGGCACUUCAGUGAGGACUGCUUUCCCCAUUGUUUUCAGUCAUUCUGUCUCUGCGGCUUUGUUAGAGAUCUCAAAAAGGAUGUUGAGAAAAUUUUUGUGUCUUUCCUACUUAUAAUUAAAGGUAGCAGUUUCUCUUGUUGAAUAAUAACUUCAGCAUUACAUGAUCUCAAAUGAUGAUGUCUGAAAUAGAUAUAUCACAAGAGAGUAUUGACUCUUAAGACAAUCCUCUCCUUGAUAUAAAAUACUCCCCACCCCAAACUGCAUAUUAAAAGCAACAGGUUAGCAGUUCUAUGGUAGGUAAAUAUGGCUGUGGUGAGUAUUUAAUUAACAAACGCAAAACAAUCAGAGUAGAAAUGACAGAAUUUUUCUUAGAGUGAAUUAAAAAAAUAGAAAGAAAAGAAAAAUUAGUCUUAAGUGUCAGGAGAGCAGAGUGCUGCCAUCUGCUGGCAAUGGAAUCUGGGUCAAAUUCCCCUUUUCACUUUUUUUUUUUCUUUUGAGAUUAAUUUCAUUUCAAAUCCUUUGGCGAUUUCAUUCACAUCUAUGAUUAAGUCUAUCGGUAUCAUUUAUUUUUCUUCCUUUAUUUCCUUCCACUUUUGCCUUCUCUUCCUUAUCCCCCCUCUUUGUUUUAAACACACAAAUUGUAGACUAUCUGAAAAGGGAACCACACUAACAUUCCACGAACAGGGUUCUAAGGUUAGAUAAUCUGUGACAUGAUACUCAGUAAAUUUCAAAUGUGGUCCACAUCUCAACGGGAGAUUUCUUUACACCUAACAAAACUCGAGAGAGUCUGGGAGCAUCUAGGACAUUUGACAACCAUGUUCGGAACUCGUUUCGGGCCCUCAGUGGUCUCCCUUGCACCUCGUGUAGCGGCACCUGUCACCUCCCAUCUCAUCCUUCCCACCUGCUCCAUGGGCUCCAUUAGUGCGCCUGGGACUUCACGUGGGCAUAUUUUACAGAGACAAAUUUAUUGUCCCCCCGUUCUCUUUUCCUAUGUGCUCAGCAGAUCAUCACUGUGAAUUUAUUACUUAAUUGAAGGUUCGGGGUUAAGAUGACUCUGGAAAGAGUAUGGGACCCCCUCCACCUGCUGAUGGCUCUGCCUCAUCAUCCACUGGAAGGUUUAUGAAGAAGGACAGGGCCUAACAAGUGACCUUUAAAAACUGCUCAGUCUGUUCUCCCCCGAAAGGAAUUCUAAUGUCCUCAUGGCUUAUGUUACGGGCUGUGUACAACUGCUGGGGAAAGACGCUGAAAAUUUAAUGAAUUUAAGAAAAGCUGUGCAAGCUUCUCCUUUAGGGAAGCCUUGGGGAAGAAGGUAACAGACAGAAAAAGCACAAUCAAAGAAAUUACACUUUCCCCAAAGAUGGGGACUCAGUGUGGGCUAAACUGGUACUCAUUUUUAUCGAGAGCUGGGGUCAUUACUGUGGCUGGUCAUAGACGUGGAAAGAGAGAAGGAAUCUGACCAAUAUCCGAGGAACCAAUGCUAGAGAAAGAUAAUUGUUACUCUCCUGUCUGAGUCAUGGAGACUAGAUCAAGGGUCUUAAGAAGCUGUGCUUGGCAUGUGUUGUGUGUGUGAGUGCUUGCACACACACACACACACACACACACACACACACACACACACACACGUGCGUGCCUGUGUGCACUUAAAUAUGAGGUAGAAAUGUCCCUGACACUAUGCAAGAAUCUGAGACAUGGCUGUGGUCAGGGAAGAGUGAGUGUAUUGAAAGUGUUGAAUGGAAAAUGAACAGGACCAGACAUACAGUUCCUCUGGAAAGUAGACAACAUCCAGGCAGUAACUAUAAAGAAGUCAAAGAAAAUGCAACUAACAAGUACAUGAUAACCAACACAGGAGUAUAAUCACCAGCUGUUUCUAAAGUGGAAAAGAGAAGACUAUGCCGUCUUGUAAGGAAUAAUGCUACUCCUUAGCAAUAAACAUUUGUGCAGAGGAAACAAGAAGAGGAUGUGUGUCCAAUGUUUGUCUCCUGGCCACCCUCGUCAUGACUGAGGAGAGGGCAAGGGCCAGCUUGAGAGUAGAAACACUGCCCUUGGACCAGGAAGAGGACCUCUUGAGGACAAUGCAGCCCCAGGAGAGUGGAUUCUUCCCUCUGCCUGACCUGACUGGGACCCCAACACAAAUAAAGAUAUGAAGAAAUGCUUGAAGAGGCACUCAAAGCACAGAACGGCACAAAAUACAGAGGUAGAGAAAAGAAGACCACAAGAUGCAGGGGAAGGAGAGUGAAGACGAGAAACAGGCAGAGAGCGCAGUGAAAUCCUUCCGCACUUCCUGUGGUUAUGCCGGGAAAUACACUAGUGUCCUCAUCGGACGCUUCUGCAGGGAAUUAACACAAGUAACUUCUCGUCUGAUUAAACACAUCUGCCACAAAAUAGCAGGUACCUUCUGAGCACAACGGAGUUAUCAGAAAUCCUAAAAGGAAAUUAUAAAGGCUUUGACGCCCUGGGUUCAAGGAUGCCAUUGAAUGUACUUUAAGAACUCUCGGGCAAAUUUUAUUUGGGGGAGGUGGAAGCUCGGCUCCACACAGCAGAGAUGCAUGGGAAAACUGAACUUCAAGGGAAGUACAUUUUCCUGAAUGGACCCUCCUCCAAAGUAAUAGAAGUGAUCAGAACGAGAAAGGUGGACGUUUGUCAAGGUAGAACGAGGACUUGGGGAAAAGAGAGUGAUGAGACAAGAGAAGUUUGGCAUUUGGAACCAUGCGGGCCUCCAGUGAAGGCCAGCUCCAUCAAUCACUAGUACCACUGCUAGUACUACUACCAUGGAUCUUGAGACGAUCACCUGGACCAUUCUGAACAUGCUUCUCCCCUCAAUAUAUUACAGAUAAUCCUUAACCUGUGAUUUGUGAAAAGAUUAGAAAUUGUUCAUCUAAGGCAUUUAAAUAGUACCUGAAUGCACACAUACUAUAUGUUCAGAAAAAAACCAUAUUGAUGCAUCUUUGAUUGCAUUCAUAUGCUUCCUCACUGGAUCCUCAAGCUUGAUUAGACAUGGCACAGAGGGCACUGGUG